GACACGUGAAAUCCUGUCUGAAUAUGGGGGGACCAUCCUCCAAGGCUAAAUACUCAUCAUCGACCGAUAGUGAACCAGUACCGUGAGGGAAAGGCGAAAAGAACCCCGGGAGGGGAGUGAAAUAGAACCUGAAACCUGAUGCAUACAAACAGUGGGAGCACCCUUGUGGUGUGACUGCGUACCUUUUGUAUAAUGGGUCAACGACUUACAUUCAGUAGCGAGCUUAACCGAAUAGGGGAGGCGUAGGGAAACCGAGUCUUAAUAGGGCGAACAGUUGCUGGGUGUAGACCCGAAACCGAGUGAUCUAUCCAUGGCCAGGUUGAAGGUGCCGUAACAGGUACUGGAGGACCGAACCCACGCAUGUUGCAAAAUGCGGGGAUGAGCUGUGGAUAGGGGUGAAAGGCUAAACAAACUCGGAGAUAGCUGGUUCUCCCCGAAAACUAUUUAGGUAGUGCCUCGAGCAAGACACUGAUGGGGGUAAAGCACUGUUAUGGCUAGGGGGUUAUUGCAACUUACCAACCCAUGGCAAACUAAGAAUACCAUCAAGUGGUUCCUCGGGAGACAGACAGCGGGUGCUAACGUCCGUUGUCAAGAGGGAAACAACCCAGACCGCCAGCUAAGGUCCCAAAUGAUAGAUUAAGUGGUAAACGAAGUGGGAAGGCCCAGACAGCCAGGAUGUUGGCUUAGAAGCAGCCAUCAUUUAAAGAAAGCGUAAUAGCUCACUGGUCGAGUCGUCCUGCGCGGAAGAUGUAACGGGGCUCAAAUCUAUAACCGAAGCUGCGGAUGCCAGUUUACUGGCAUGGUAGGGGAGCGUUCUGUAGGCCGAUGAAGGUGCAUUGUAAAGUGUGCUGGAGGUAUCAGAAGUGCGAAUGUUGACAUGAGUAGCGAUAAAGCGGGUGAAAAGCCCGCUCGCCGAAAGCCCAAGGUUUCCUACGCAACGUUCAUCGGCGUAGGGUGAGUCGGCCCCUAAGGCGAGGCAGAAAUGCGUAGUCGAUGGGAAACAGGUUAAUAUUCCUGUACUUGAUUCAAAUGCGAUGUGGGGACGGAGAAGGUUAGGUUAGCAAGCUGUUGGAAUAGCUUGUUUAAGCCGGUAGGUGGAAGACUUAGGCAAAUCCGGGUCUUCUUAACACCGAGAAGUGACGACGAGUGUCUACGGACAUGAAGUAACCGAUACCACGCUUCCAGGAAAAGCCACUAAGCUUCAGUUUGAAUCGAACCGUACCGCAAACCGACACAGGUGGGCAGGAUGAGAAUUCUAAGGCGCUUGAGAGAACUCGGGAGAAGGAACUCGGCAAAUUGAUACCGUAACUUCGGGAGAAGGUAUGCCCUCUAAGGUUAAGGACUUGCUCCGUAAGCCUCGGAGGGUCGCAGAGAAUAGGUGGCUGCGACUGUUUAUUAAAAACACAGCACUCUGCUAACACGAAAGUGGACGUAUAGGGUGUGACGCCUGCCCGGUGCUGGAAGGUUAAUUGAAGAUGUGAGAGCAUCGGAUCGAAGCCCCAGUAAACGGCGGCCGUAACUAUAACGGUCCUAAGGUAGCGAAAUUCCUUGUCGGGUAAG
rnacentral:rRNA from 1 species